rnacentral:rRNA from 1 species
GGAUUCAACGCCGGAAAUCUUACCGGGACCGACAGCAAUAUGAAGGCCAGGCUGAAGACUUUGCCGGAUUAGCUGAGAGGUGGUGCAUGGCCGUCGUCAGUUCGUACUGUGAAGCAUCCUGUUAAGUCAGGCAACGAGCGAGACCCACGCCCACAGUUGCCAGCGUACUCUCUGGAGUGACGGGUACACUGUGGGGACCGCCGCUGCUAAGCGGAGGAAGGAAUGGGCAACGGUAGGUCAGUAUGCCCCGAAUAUCCCGGGCUACACGCGAGCUACAAUGGUUGGUACAAUGGGUAUCUACCCCGAAAGGGGACGGGAAUCUCCUAAAACCAAUCUUAGUUCGGAUUGAGGGCUGCAACUCGCCCUCAUGAAGCUGGAAUCCGUAGUAAUCGCGUUUCAACAGAACGCGGUGAAUACGUCCCUGCUCCUU